rnacentral:rRNA from 1 species
UACGGAGGGGGCCAGCGUUGUUCGGAAUCAUUGGGCGUAAAGGGCGCGUAGGCGGCCGACCAAGUCGAAGGUGAAAUCCCUCGGCUCAACUGAGGAAUUGCCUCCGAUACUGGUCGGCUUGAGUCCUGGAGAGGGUAGUGGAAUUCCGAGUGUAGCGGUGAAAUGCGUAGAGACUCGGAAGAACACCAGUGGCGAAGGCGGCUACCUGGACAGGUACUGACGCUGCAGCGCGAAAGCUAGGGGAGCAAACAGGAUUAGAUACCCUGGUAGUCCUAGCUGUAAACGAUGGGCACUUGGUGUUGCGGGUAUCGACCCCUGCAGUGCCGAAGCUAACGCAUUAAGUGCCCCGCCUGGGGAGUACGGUCGCAGGGCUGAA